ACAUUGGGAAAGCAGAUCGCAGCCUGAGAGAACUGGCUGUGAGAGUCGGGGCAGGAAUCCUGUCCUCCAGUAGUUGAGGUGAGGCCAGAGUUGAGAGGACCCUACUGCCUCCCUCAGCAAGUGUCUCCUGGCAGGCUGGCUGGUGACAGGAAGGGGAAGGCGAUGCUGGCUAGGGGAGACAUUCAGCCACUUAAAACUCAACCAGCCAAUAGCAGGCUCUUACCUAUAAACCAAAGUCCUCAAACCAAAGUAAGGCCAGGAGAGACAGCCCCCUACUGACCUUGCACUUCCUUAGCCCCAACCCUCAGGAAGGUGUAUAGGAACCGAGAGAUGGGCAGCGUGUCCCAGAGCCAAAUGACUUCAUCCUCUCAUUGCCGCUGACAGCUUUCUAACAUGCUUCGCUUCUUUUCCUUCCUUCUUUUCUUUUCUUUUCUUUCUUUCUUUUUUUUUUUUUGAAACAGGGUUUCAUGUAGUAUAGGCUCACAUUCUCUGUGUAGCCAAAGCUGGUUGGCCUUGAACUCCUGAUAUCCUUCUGCCUCCAUCUCCUAUGUGCUAGGAUUAGAGGUGUGUGCCAUGGCACAGUUGGCAUUACUGCUGUUGCUGGUACUACUACUACUACUACUACUACUACUAUGUUUUUUGAGACAGAGUAGCCUUGGCUCUCCUGGAACUCACUCUGUAGACCAGGCUGGCCUUAAACUCAGAGAUCCACCUGCUUCUGCCCCCUGAAUGCUGGGAUCAAAGGUGUGUGACAUCUCCACCCGCCCAUGCACAGUUGGCUUUAAGAUACUAUCUUCUGCCUUACACACACAUCCCUUGCUUCUCUCUAGCCACACUAGCUCCUGGCGUUCUAAUCCCUAGAAGGAGAGAUUGUGUUCCUACCUCAGGGCCUUGGCGCCUACACUUCUUAGAGCUCUUCUCACUAGAUGGUUCCAGCGUCUCCACUUCUCUCAGUGCCCUAAGCUUUUACCCAGCUCGCAUUUAUGACGUAUCAUAUUUGCCCUGUUCUUUCUUUUUCUUUUCACCCCUCCCUCAUCCAAAUAUCAACACCCUGAAAACAGAGCUGGUCCAUUCCGUUUUGCAUCCUAUGCUGGCAUAGUCCUCAGCACACAGAAGAUACUUAAUACAUGUGCAUUUGUUGGCUGGUUGACAGGCCAAAGGAGAACCCAACACGAGGUGGGCAGCUUCCUACGGCAUGCCAGACACUGGCCAGGGCCACACUGCCAGUCACUGGGAAAGGGAUGACCAGAGAGUGGCUAAAGACAAAAGAGGGCUUUUUUUGGUCCCAGACCAGACCUUCAGGCCUGGGUCUCUUGCUUCACCAAACAGCUUCCUCCUUUCCCGUCAACCAUGAGCACGGAAGCCUGUCCUUUUGGGUGGUGUGGGGAGGUAGAGGUGAGACCAAGGCAAAUUAGAAGGGGCAGUGUACUGACAGGCAAGGCUGCACCCCUGUGGCCUCCUUGCUUGGGAUUUUGUGUGCUCCAUGGGCCCCACCACUGGUGCUAUAAGAGUUGUAUCCUCUGUGAGAUUCCUCUGGGUUCCCCUCAUGCAACCUGAACUAGAGAGAACCUUCUGGAAAAACCCGCGCCAUGGUCCUUCCCUUCCCUGCUUUUCUGUUCUGACAGCAGGAAACCGAUGUUCAUUUGUGUGCUGAUUUACAUGUCAUCUGCAUAUGCAAUAAAAUUUACAUCUCAUC
rnacentral:lncRNA from 1 species